GCCCAGCUGGCUCAGUCAGAAGAGCAUGCGACUUUGACCUCAGGGCUGUGAGUUCGAGCCCCAUGCUGGGUA
rnacentral:tRNA from 1 species